CAACAGCCAGGUAUGCUCCUCCCCACAGUUAACUGGCAACUGCCAGGAGAAACAGAAAGUUGACAAUAAUCUAAACACACAAAAUAAUACCAGUCCAGUUUUAGAGAAGAAUUCUGCUUGACUAUGAGACUGUACUGUGACAGCAUGUAUAGGAUCUGCACAGAUUCAAACCAGAUAAAGUCCCAGGACUCAGAGGGAAGAGUGAAUGCAAAGUCCUACCCCAGCCAAGAAGCUACAUGUAAUUGGUAUCUGCUGGGAAAAG